AAAAGAUCUAUGAUCCUCACAAAGAGUUCUGCAAUCCAUUUGAUAACAUCUAACACUCUGAAGAACUGCUUCUUGAUGGUGGAGAAUGAUCUGAAACCUACCACAAAGGCUAUGUGGCCAUACCUCACCUGAGGGACACAUCAAGUCAUAAAAGGUGAACUGUCGCUUGCAACAUUUGGAAAGAAAAUUCAGAAUGCUUUCUGCCCCGUCACACAGUUCAGUCAACACAAGAGAACCCAGAGUCCGUGUCCUGAAUUAAUUACAUGGAUAAGUGAUUAAAGGUAUGGACAACUUCUGUGUCUUCAGACCUGGAGAGCUGAGUUUACCUGUAAAGAUAUUCCUGCAAAAACUUCUACUUAGUCACACAAGUACAAUGCCAGCUUUCUUCCUGAGAUGAAGAUUUGGCUAAGAGGAAUUCAGAGAAUGAAUGGAGACCAUUGAUGGAAGAUCCAGUGUUCCAUAGGGGCCCAGCUACUGUUUCUAGAGAAAAGACAGAAGGCAGCAAGAGUGAGAAGCAACCAAUUACACCCGAAUUCAGUGGAUUUAGUUUUGUUAUUACUACUGGUGAAACCACUGUUAUUCUUGCAUUCUUAUUUGAAAGACCAAUUCCAGACAAAUUGGGACCAGAAGAUGCCAUUUCUAGAGAUUUUCAGAUAUACUACUGCACCUGAUGCUGAGAUUUGGACCCACACCAAGAAAGAAAUUCAUACAUGCAAUUAGCUCUUGAAAGCCUAGCAGGAAAGUACCUUUCAGAAGAGAAAGAAAUGCUGGUCCACAAGACCAAGGCCAGGUGAUCAGGAAACUCAUUCCUUCUUUCUUCCUUUGAAUGUAUGCCAUGAAACUCAUACCUAUAAAUCCAGCACUUGAAAUCUGGAGGCAGGACAACCAUUAAAAGUUUAAGGUUAGCACGGUUUACACAGUAAGCUCUUGUCUCAAAAAAACAAACAGAUAUACCAUGAAAAUUCCAUGAGUAUUUUCCAAAGUUACCAGAUAAUCUCAGAGUCAUGAAUAUAAUACCUGUAUUAUAUUUCAUGUAUAACCAUCCCUUUGGUUCUAUUAUUAUUUCAUUGUAAUGUUAUUUUAUAUGGCAUUACUUUUCCUACUUUUACAAAAAGUUCAAAAUGCACAAUGAACUCAAUUCUUUGUGUAUAUUCUGUUUUACUUGCACUUCUGGGAUUGAUGGUAUAAUUUGGCUGAACUAGUUGACAAGCAGAAAUUUGUUAAUGGGGUUAAGCCUGACGGUCCAAAGAAGCCAGAACAUACAGCACAGAGUAUUAAUGAUUUAGAUAUGCAAAUGUAUGGUUUCAGAAACAUAUAUUGCAUAGCACUUGAAAUCUGAUUCUCAGCAGUCAGCUUCUUCCCUCUGAAUGUCAACUAUUACUUCAAACAAAUACACAAACUUAUAAUUUUCAAAGUAAUUAAUUUUCAAAGUAAUUUUUACCUCCUGAGUAAAUGUCAAACUAUUUUAGAAUUUGAAAUAAUCACAGAUGCAUUCCAAAAUAUCCAGGGCUACACAGUAUUUUUAUAGUUUAAAUUAGUUUAAUUUAAAUUAAUUUAAAAUAUUAGAAGCUCUCUCAGAAGUGAACAACUUUUAGAAUACCCAAAUCUAUUAUUUAAUUUGUACACAGGUAUUCUAGGAACUAAUUAGGAAAGGAAGUAGGGGGCCAGUCU
rnacentral:lncRNA from 1 species